AAACGGCAAGUACUCUUCAGCAUCCUCAAUUUCCUCCUUCCUAAAGCAAUCCGCCCAGUGCCUGUAAUAAACAGUUAUAAUUUUAAAACAGAACUCAUCCUCUGGAAAGGAACGAGAGGGGAGACAUCCUUGUGAGCCCCAUCUAUGCGGCUGUCCCGUUAUUCCAGGAAUGACGUUGGGAUUCGAGUUAGUUUCUGAAUGAUGACUAUUAGGUUAAAACUUUCUCAGUGUGACUGUGAACACAUCUAGGCCAUCAAAGAUGCUGGGGAGGUUUUCUGUAAAGAAGUCCUCCUGUG
rnacentral:lncRNA from 1 species